rnacentral:misc_RNA from 1 species
GAUGAAGAACGCAGCGAAAUGCGAUAAGUAAUGUGAAUUGCAGAAUUCAGUGAAUCAUCGAAUCUUUGAACGCACAUUGCGCCCCUUGGUAUUCCAAGGGGCAUGCCUGUUCGAGCGUCAUUAUAACCCCUCAAGCUCAGCUUGGUGUUGGGGCCUGCUGCACUGGCAGCCCUUAAAAUCAGUGGCGGCGCCAUCUGGCUCUAAGCGUAGUAAUUCUUCUCGCUAUGGAGUCCUGGUGGAUGCUUGCCAUCAACCCCCAAUUUUUCUAUGGUUGACCUCGGAUCAGGUAGGGAUACCCGCUGAACUUAAGCAUAUCAAUAAGCGGAGGA